rnacentral:rRNA from 1 species
UCCAAUAGCGUAUAUUAAAGUUGUUGCAGUUAAAAGGCUCGUAGUUGAAUUUCGGGGUUAGUAGGUUGGUCAUGCCUCUGGUAUGUACUGGUCUCACUGAUUCCUCCUUCCUGAUGAACCUUAAUGCCAUUAAUUUGGUGUUUUGGGGAAUUUGGACUGUUACUUUGAAAAAAUUAGAGUGUUUAAAGCAAGCUAACGCUUGAAUACAUUAGCAUGGAAUAAUGAAAUAGGACGUUCGAUCCUAUUUUGUUGGUUUCUAGGAUUGACGUGAUGAUUAAUAGGGAUAGUUGGGGGCAUUAGUAUUCAAUUGUCAGAGGUGGAAUUCUUGGAUUUAUUGAAGACUAACUACUGCGAAAGCAUUUGCCAAGGAUGUUUUCAUUAAUCAAGAACGAAAGUUAGGGGAUCGAAGACGAUCAGAUACCGUCGUAGUCUUAACCAUAAACUAUGCCGACUAGGGAUCGGAUGAUGUUAAUUUUUUAAUGACUCAUUCGGCGCCUUACGGGAAAC